rnacentral:rRNA from 1 species
UGGGGAAUAUUGCACAAUGGGCGCAAGCCUGAUGCAGCCAUGCCGCGUGUAUGAAGAAGGCCUUCGGGUUGUAAAGUACUUUCAGCGGGGAGGAAGGCGAUAAGGUUAAUAACCUUGUCGAUUGACGUUACCCGCAGAAGAAGCACCGGCUAACUCCGUGCCAGCAGCCGCGGUAAUACGGAGGGUGCAAGCGUUAAUCGGAAUUACUGGGCGUAAAGCGCACGCAGGCGGUCUGUCAAGUCGGAUGUGAAAUCCCCGGGCUCAACCUGGGAACUGCAUUCGAAACUGGCAGGCUAGAGUCUUGUAGAGGGGGGUAGAAUUCCAGGUGUAGCGGUGAAAUGCGUAGAGAUCUGGAGGAAUACCGGUGGCGAAGGCGGCCCCCUCGACAAAGACUGACGCUCAGGUGCGAAAGCGUGGGGAGCAAACA